ensembl:lncRNA
AUGGCAAAAGGUAUCGGUGGUGGGCUCAGACGCACUGAAGGAUAUCAUAGAGAGAGUGACAUUGGACAGCCUGGGUCUUCAUGGCCACGCUUGACUGGAUCCUCCAAAGGGCCUCUCCUCUGUCCACUUCACUUUCUGUCCCCUCCGCUGAGGGCCUCAGGGGCCCCGGGGACCUCCAGGGAAGGGGUGGACGGAUGGACACAGACAUUUGACAGGAGAGGAAUAACUGUGUGGCUGGGUGACAGGCCAUCUAUCCAUGCAGACUCAUGCCGUUUCCUUCAGGAGUGCUGCCCCACUAAUAGGAACAUGCCCUGGAACUCAAGCUGGAAAAUACAUCUCAUUCCCGCCCGCUUGUUUUUUAGGCCAUCGAGGAUCCUCAGUCAUCAAUAUGAAUCUGAGUCGGAGAGGGUUUUUCCCUUCUUUAUCCGUUACUGUGAGCGCCGGCAGCCUGAUGGAUCUCUGCCAUCACUUCUGAAUGAUGUUUGCCUUUCAUUUCUAUUUCUUCAUCUCUCUUUCUCGGCUCUGUCUCCAUCCUUUUUCUGCCACUGCUUGGGCUAUUCUGAGCCGCAAAGAAAGACAUCUUUGAAAUCGUCCAUGGAAAUGUGCAGUUUGGGGGUCACUCAGCUGCAGAUGAAAUGACUGAAUUACACAGGCCCGCUGUCAGCCGUGAAUCAGAUCAGCCAGUCAACUCAUAUACAUGAUUUUACAAGUCACUGAAGAAUAUCACACAUAGAGUACAUUAUCAAAUACUGCUUUUUGAUAUUGCAUGCAAUAAUAACAAUAAGUUACAUAUUAAUUAAAAGUUUUUAUAAGAGACACCAAAAAUGCAAAAAUGACACCAAAAUAUUUUUGUUUAAGUGUCCAAUAAACAAUAUGGAGGUUUUAUAUUAAAAAUCUAUUAUUUUGAAAUAAAAUAAAUAAUUAUUAGACUACCAAUACACAAUAUCCAUUGUGAAUAAUAAUAAUAAUAAUAAUAAUAGCAUGAUUAUUAUUAACAUUUAUUAUUAAUAAAUAAGCAUAAAUGGUUGUUAAAAAAAGUGUGCGAGAGAGAGAGAUUGAGAGAGAUUUUUUUAAACAAAGUAGUGUAAAAAUGCAUAUAUUAUGUACAAUAUAAAAUACAUUAAGACAGAGAUCAAUCAUAAAUAUUAUAAAUUAAUAAUUUUACAAUGAUUUAAAGAUUAUCAAUGUCUUUUAGCCAAAUAAAGCACCAAAACCAAUAUUAAAAUAAAUGUAGUUAGAAAAUAAAUUAUUUU